CUCGUCACUCGGUCGCAGGUGGCGGG
rnacentral:ncRNA from 1 species